GAGUUUGAUCCUGGCUCAAAGCGAACGCUGGCGGCAGGCUUAACACAUGCAGGUCGAGCGGGCGUAACAAUACGUCAGCGGUAGACGGCUGAGUAACGCGUGGGAACGUACCUUUUGGUUCGGAACAACACAGGGAAACCUGUGCUAAUACCGGAUAAGCCCUUACGGGGAAAGAUUUAUCGCCGAAAGAUCGGCCCGCGUCUGAUUAGCUAGUUGGUGAGGUAACGGCUCACCAAGGCGACGAUCAGUAGCUGGUCUGAGAGGAUGAUCAGCCACAUUGGGACUGAGACACGGCCCAAACUCCUACGGGAGGCAGCAGUGGGGAAUAUUGGACAAUGGGCGCAAGCCUGAUCCAGCCAUGCCGCGUGAGUGAUGAAGGCCCUAGGGUUGUAAAGCUCUUUUGUGCGGGAAGAUAAUGACGGUACCGCAAGAAUAAGCCCCGGCUAACUUCGUGCCAGCAGCCGCGGUAAUACGAAGGGGGCUAGCGUUGCUCGGAAUCACUGGGCGUAAAGGGUGCGUAGGCGGGUCUUUAAGUCAGGGGUGAAAUCCUGGAGCUCAACUCCAGAACUGCCCUUGAUACUGAGGAUCUUGAGUUCGGGAGAGGUGAGUGGAACUGCGAGUGUAGAGGUGAAAUUCGUAGAUAUUCGCAAGAACACCAGUGGCGAAGGCGGCUCACUGGCCCGAUACUGACGCUGAGGCACGAAAGCGUGGGGAGCAAACAGGAUUAGAUACCCUGGUAGUC
rnacentral:rRNA from 1 species